rnacentral:misc_RNA from 1 species
ACGGAACAUAGUCAGCGCUUGUAAACAAAGCGUGCAGUCUGUCCGAGCACCACACGGAGAUCACGUGAAUAAUUCCACACCUGCGGUUACCUUUUUGCAACGCGUUCACUUCCUUAUCGAGGGCUAUGAGCUAAUCCCUAAUCGCGAUGCUUCGGCGAGGGAUCAAUGGAUCAUUUGUAUUGUUCCAAGCACACGGGAUCGGGAAAAAAUCGUUAGAUGAGCCGACGAAUGGGAGCUAGCGCGAGACGCAGAUGACCGCGAUGUCCUCGAGUUCAUAAAUUCACUUGAUUCAUCUCACAGAAAUAUAUUUGUUGAAAAUUAUCGGAGAAAUUGAAUUCUUUGCGAUCCCGGGAGAUAGCCUACGAUUUUUCGCGCCUCCCUGAGGAGAGGGGAUACGAGACUCGCUCGGCUUUGACCUAAUAAAUAGACCGCUUUGUCCAACAGGAGCCAAUUUUCGCGCGGCAAACGUUCCCGGUUGGAGCCAUACGGAUUCUCCGCUCGUUGACGCACUCGAACAACUUCGCGAACGCUUUCGUCGACAAAGUUUAUAAAUUCGGGUGAUUCGUUGCCGAAACAUGGCUGGCCGAAAGGAACUCGAUCGCUGUUACGAUUUCGUGAUGAAUCUUACCAUCGAAUCGGCGAAGAUUAUACGCGAAGCGUUCCGAGGAAUGAAAAACGUCGAGACCAAAGCCGGCGAUUGGGACCUGGUCACCCAGUACGACAGAAAAGUCGAGCAAGUUCUCAUUGCUGGUCUCGCCAAGGAAUUUCCUAAUCACAAAUUCAUCGGAGAAGAAACGGUUUCGAGUUCGAAACAUUUGCCAGCAUUGACCGACGCGCCGACGUGGAUCAUCGAUCCGAUCGACGGUACGACCAAUUUCGUGCACUCCUUCCCCCACACCUGCAUUUCGAUAGCUCUCGUCGUAAAUAAGCAAUUGGAAAUUGGAAUAGUGUACAAUCCGUUGUUGGAGCAAAUGUUCACAGCGAGGCGUGGCCAGGGAGCUUUCCUCAAUGGGAAACCCAUCAGAAGCUCUGACGUCGUUGACGUGAGGAAUUCCCUGAUCUGCAUCGAGGCUUCGUACGCGACGAUCGAAUCGAUCAGGGACAUCGUCCUAGGGAGAUUGGAAGCAUUCGUGUCAGUCGCCCAUGGGAUAAGGACCCUCGGAUCUGCUGCACUGACGCUGUGCUACGUGGCGAUGGGAGCAGCCGAGGCUUAUCACUCCGACAACCUCAUGCCAUGGGACGUGGCUGCUGGGACUCUCAUAAUACGAGAAGCUGGAGGAAAUGUGGUCGAUACUCGAGGCGGAGAGUUCGAUCUGAUGGAGCCGAAGACUCUGGCAGUUGGAAAUGGAAAAUUGGGUCAUGAUUUAGUGAAACUGAUCAAAACAGCGGACGCCAAGACGCUUCGCAAAAGAGGGACGACGAAUUAGCACCUUUCGUCUUCCAAAUCAAUCGGAACGAUGAAAGAAUUCAUUAUUUUUAUCACCGGAAAUAUUCGUAAAGCAGAAAAAACGAAUAUGAGGUGUGCACGUGACACGAGACUCGCGAAACGACUUUGUCAACGGUUUCAAUGUCUCAGUAACACUUUCGAUGACAGUCGGUCAUGUUCCUCCAAAGAAUUAAGUAUUUUUGUAACAUUCAAUUACGAUAAGUGCAGAGAUUUAAAUGAAUUUUGUUAUUAUCGCGGCUACUAUUCUAAUUUCUGUGAGUUUGGGACGUUGACUACGCGUUUUUCCUACUUUUUAAAGUACGAGAUUCAGCGAUAAUGACCGGAGUAAUUUAACGAUAUUCAAACUUGAAAAAACAUCGUGUAAAACAAUAAACGUACGCACGCCCAA